AGAAAUACCGAAGAAAUGUCCUAGAGCAGGGUAACCGAGUGUUUCUACUCCGUCACUUUCCCCUCUGCUUGGCUGCCCCCACCCUUUGCUGUGUGCUUCUCCCUCCCCAACUCCCACAUCCUUCCCUCCUUCCUACCUCCUCCUGGCAGUGCCUUUGAGAGAGCAGGGCCACCCCCCCCCACUCCCCCUCCACACAGCCUGACUUCCAGGAAACUAGGACACCACAAGCCGAGUUUCACUUUUGCUUCUCAGAACUGACCGGAGAGAAGAGAAGACGCGUGGCAGCCUCCUGCUGUCAGGAAGGGGCCCAGCUGGGCCGAGAUCAGCCGCCCUCCAGCCGAGCCCUUCCGCUGCUCAGCUGGUCGGUUCUCCCCACUCAGCGGACAGGAGGGAUGGAGCGACUCCGGGAGGACGUCACCUGCUCCAUCUGCCUGGACGUCUUGGAGGACCCCGUCUCCAUCGAGUGCGGCCACAACUUCUGCCGGGGCUGCCUCACCCCUCACUGGCACGGGGACUCAGCCCAGGCACCGUGCUGCCCCGAGUGCCGCCGGCCCUGCGCCAGGGACAGGAUGAUCCCAGACACGAGGCUGAGAGCCCUGGUGGAGAAAAUCACGGAGCCCCCGCAGGAGGCGAUAGAGCUGCAGGGCCCGGGGGCUGAGCUGGAGCCAGGGCGCCCAGUGCAGCUGGUGCAUCUGGGCGAG